rnacentral:misc_RNA from 1 species
GUAGGUGAACCUGCGGAAGGAUCAUUACAGAGUUCUUGCCCUCACGGGUAGACCUCCCACCCUUGAUAUCUAUUCUCUUGUUGCUUUGGCGGGACGCAUCUUGCCACGGGUUUGGCCCCGUGAGUGCCCGCCAGAGACCUAUCAACUCUUGUUUUACGUGCCGUCUGAGUAUUAUAUAAUAGUUAAAACUUUCAACAACGGAUCUCUUGGUUCUG